rnacentral:rRNA from 1 species
GACGUAGGGCGCGAGCGUUGUCCGGAAUUAUUGGGCGUAAAGAGCUCGUAGGCGGUUUGUCGCGUCGGCUGUUGAAAAACCUGAGGCUCAACCUCAGGCCUGCAGUCGAUACGGGCGGACUUGAGUACUGCAGGGGAGACUGGAAUUCCUGGUGUAGCGGUGAAAUGCGCAGAUAUCAGGAGGAACACCGGUGGCGAAGGCGGGUCUCUGGGCAGUAACUGACGCUGGAGGAGCGAAAGCGUGGGGGAGCGAACAGG